CCCAAACGCUGAGAGACAGGCAGGCGCAGAAACAUGGCUGACACACGCGACACUGACUAUAAAGGGUUGGGGAAGUUUUGCCUGUAUAUUGUUGGCGACAGCCGCCACAGUCAUUCAGCUGCACACUGCUCAGUCGUGGAGAAAGUCUACAGCAAGGCAGCUCCCACAUGAAAGGUCAAGGGAUGUUGAUGAGGAUGCUGGUGGCCAUGUCCUGUGUCUACAUCCUGUGCACGGCUCCCAACAUGGCUUUGGGUCUGGCAAGGUUCACUGUCCCAGAAUUCCGCGCAGACGGAAGUUUCUGCAACUUGUUCAUAGCCACGCACUUGCUUAGCGUCGUGAUAAUUAUGUUCAACUCGUCCAUCAACUUCUUCGUUUACGCCGCCAUGUCGUCCCGCUUUCGUCAGGAACUCAAGGCGCUGUUCUCGUUGACCGACGCUGGGAUGUCUUUGAAAACCAGCAUCAGUGACACUCACAUCAAACAUUAAUCAGACUCUUGGGAUGUCCUUCGCGUUUUUUUUAUAAAGCACUAAGUCAAGGCUAAACUUUACUAAACUUUAUGUCGAUGAGUUUGUUUCGGGUAUAUUAUUUGAUUUACUUAGCUUAGUUGACGAAAGUUCAGUUAAACAAAGCAUUUUUAAUUGCAAUCGUUAUAUGCGAGAUUCGGGUAAUAUACGGUCCGCGAUUUACUGUAACACGCUACCUCAUUAUUCUUUCCAUAUAAAUGCUUUGUGUCAAAGCUCAGCCCCCAAGG